rnacentral:rRNA from 1 species
UACGAAGGGGGCUAGCGUUACUCGGAUUGACUGGGCGUAAAGGGCGCGUAGGCGGCUUGGCAAGUGGAUGGUGAAAUCCCUCGGCUUAACCGAGGAACUGCCGUCCAAACUGCUUUGCUUGAGGACUGGAGAGGAGACUGGAAUUUACGGUGUAGCGGUGAAAUGCGUAGAUAUCGUAAGGAAGACCAGUGGCGAAGGCGGGUCUCUGGACAGUUCCUGACGCUGAGGCACGAAGGUCAGGGGAGCAAACGGG